rnacentral:rRNA from 1 species
GCGAGCGGAACCACAGAUUUACUUCGGUAAUGACGUUGGGAAAGCGAGCGGCGGAUGGGUGAGUAACACGUGGGGAACCUGCCCCUAAGUCUGGGAUACCAUUUGGAAACAGGUGCUAAUACCGGAUAAUAAAGCAGAUCGCAUGAUCAGCUUUUGAAAGGCGGCGUAAGCUGUCGCUAAGGGAUGGCCCCGCGGUGCAUUAGCUAGUUGGUAAGGUAACGGCUUACCAAGGCGACGAUGCAUAGCCGAGUUGAGAGACUGAUCGGCCACAUUGGGACUGAGACACGGCCCAAACUCCUACGGGAGGCAGCAGUAGGGAAUCUUCCACAAUGGACGCAAGUCUGAUGGAGCAACGCCGCGUGAGUGAAGAAGGUUUUCGGAUCGUAAAGCUCUGUUGUUGGUGAAGAAGGAUAGAGGUAGUAACUGGCCUUUAUUUGACGGUAAUCAACCAGAAAGUCACGGCUAACUACGUGCCAGCAGCCGCGGUAAUACGUAGGUGGCAAGCGUUGUCCGGAUUUAUUGGGCGUAAAGCGAGCGCAGGCGGAAAAAUAAGUCUAAUGUGAAAGCCCUCGGCUUAACCGAGGAACUGCAUCGGAAACUGUUUUUCUUGAGUGCAGAAGAGGAGAGUGGAACUCCAUGUGUAGCGGUGGAAUGCGUAGAUAUAUGGAAGAACACCAGUGGCGAAGGCGGCUCUCUGGUCUGCAACUGACGCUGAGGCUCGAAAGCAUGGGUAGCGAACAGGAUUAGAUACCCUGGUAGUCCAUGCCGUAAACGAUGAGUGCUAAGUGUUGGGAGGUUUCCGCCUCUCAGUGCUGCAGCUAACGCAUUAAGCACU